rnacentral:rRNA from 1 species
GCCCGCUCAGAAACUUAAUGAAUUGACGGGGCCCGCACAAGCGGAGGAACAUGUGGUUUAAUUCGAUGAUACGCGAGGAACCUUACCUGGGCUAGAACGCAUUCGGAAUCAGGCCGAAAGGCCUGCGCCAGCGAUGGCCGCUUGCGAGGUGCUGCAUGGUUGUCGUCAGCUCGUGCCGUGAGGUGUCGGGUUAAGUCCCAUAACGAGCGCAACCCCUACUGCUAGUUGCCAGCGGGUCAUGCCGGGGACUCUAGCGGAACUGCCAGCGUAAGCUGCGAGGAAGGUGGGGAUGACGUCAAAUCAGCACGGCCCUUACGUCCAGGGCUACACACGUGUUACAAUGGCCGGUACAGAGGGCAGCCACCCCGCGAGGGGGCGCGAAUCCCGAAAGCCGGUCCCAGUUCGGAUCGGAGUCUGCAACCCGACUCCGUGAAGCUGGAUUCGCUAGUAAUCGCGCAUCAGCCACGGCGCGGUGAAUACGUUCCCGGGCCUU